rnacentral:lncRNA from 1 species
GAUUAAAAAGUACUCUCUUAACUGGAGUACCCACAGCCCACUUCACCUCUCAGACCAUGAAGCUCAGACCAUGUGCUGGCUACUACCUUGUGCAACUCUGAUUUCAUGGUGUGUCGUUUGAUAGUCCUUUGGAUUUUAUCCACUCCAAAUAAUUGAAGUACCAGUCAGAUACUCAUUCCGUAUACUGUGUUGAGUACUCUGAUAUCAGAGACAUAUCCUGCCCUCAAACAAGGCAGCCUGGUGAUGAAAAGAUGUAGAUAAUUAUAAUGAAAAAGCAAUUGCAGCAGUGAAAUAUUGAGAAAAGUCAUGAAGGGACAUUUAGGCAGCGUUUUGGAGCUGGUUAGAAUUGUGAAGGCAGAGACAAAGGAGCACUCCAGGUGGAACCGCAUGAACAGAGGCUCUGAGAUAGCCCAACCUAGGAUGUCCAGUUAGUCUGCAUUUUCAGAGAUGUGAAAGAAAUCAGCAGACGAGAAGGAUGGAAAAGUCUGUGAAGUAACCUUGAAUUAGAUGAUGAGGACUUCAAAUCUUACAUCUAUGCAAUGGAAUUCUGUGGCAAGUCACCAGAGAUGCUGACCAUGUUCUGACAGUGGAAGAGAGAACCAGUGGAGAUGUGAACUAGCCAGGAGCCUGGGAGGGCGUACGUCCAUGCCUGCAGUGGAGAAUGCAUACGAACACUGACAAGAGGUCCAGGAGGUGAGAGCCAAGUCAGGAGUCCUGGCUUUGUGGGUCGUGUGUCAUUAAUGAUUGUUAAGAGAGUGAUUUCAGCAACAUAGGAAAGGAAGAAGCUUAGACUGCAGGAGGUAAGGACCUGAGAGGGCAACAAGAAAGGUGAGGCAGUGAAUUAUGCAGGCUUCACUCAGCGAAGAGCUAACGUGAUGGCAUGAAUCAUGAUAGGGUAGACACCAGUUGGUAAGAAUCAGAAAGCCUCUGUUUCCAUCCCUUGUUCGCUGCAACCUCCAUUCCUCUACACACAAAAAUAUAUGUUCACCCCCCACUUCCUACCGUGACACCGUUGAGCUAAAAGUUAAAAUCCCUCACACAUCCCCCAAAAUACUUGGGUUGUCCCUCAGUCUCACCCCUGUUCUCUCCCUCAGGGCAAGGUGGAGUCCAGUUCCCUUGCACAUAGGCCCUGCUGUGUCUUGUUACAUUGAGGACCAACUGGAAUUCAGCCGUCAGAAACAUCCCCCACAUCCCUGCAAUGGCUGACACGAGAACACAGGGAAACCUACAUUACAUUACCAGGACCUACCACAUUGCCUGGCACAUGGUGGCUGCUGGAUGAACACUAGCUGAAUGAAUGCGUGAACACAGAAGCACACAUGGAUUCUAAGACACCGCACACCUGCUUCAGUUGACCCUACUCUUCUAGAAAUCUCAGCUACUCUCAGAGACUUGCCAGGAGCAGGGUACUUACCUGAC